GCGUAACGCGUAUACAAUCUGCCUUUCACAUAGGGAUAGCCCGAAGAAAUUUGGAUUAAUACCUAAUGGUAUAUAAGAGCGGCAUCGUUUUUAUAUUAAAGCUACGGUGGUGAAAGAUGAGUAUGCGUUCUAUUAGCUAGUUGGAGAGGUAACGGCUCACCAAGGCGACGAUACAUAGCCGACCUGAGAGGGUGAUCGGCCACACUGGGACUGAGGCACGGCCCAG
rnacentral:rRNA from 1 species